rnacentral:rRNA from 1 species
CAAACCAUAUAAAAACUUAACUAUUUUUAUAGGAAUGGAAACACCUGAAACCAUAUAGAAUUCAAAGCGUGAAAUAUUCCUAAUUCAAGAUUACCAUUAAAAAAAUGGGAAAUAUGAAAGAGUUUAGUUAUGUGGUUAAU